AUUGAACGCUGGCGGCAUGCCUUACACAUGCAAGUCGAACGGCAGCAUGGGUGCUUGCACCUGAUGGCGAGUGGCGAACGGGUGAGUAAUGCAUCGGAACGUACCUUUCAGUGGGGGAUAACGUAGCGAAAGUUACGCUAAUACCGCAUAUUCUGUGAGCAGGAAAGCAGGGGAUCUUCGGACCUUGCGCUGAUGGAGCGGCCGAUGUCAGAUUCGCUAGUUGGUGGGGUAAAGGCCUACCAAGGCGACGAUCUGUAGCGGGUCUGAGAGGAUGAUCCGCCACACUGGGACUGAGACACGGCCCAGACUCCUACGGGAGGCAGCAGUGGGGAAUUUUGGACAAUGGGGGCAACCCUGAUCCAGCCAUGCCGCGUGAGUGAAGAAGGCCUUCGGGUUGUAAAGCUCUUUCGGACGGGAAGAAAUCGUGGUGGCUAAUAUCUGCCAUGGAUGACGGUACCGUAAUAAGAAGCACCGGCUAACUACGUGCCAGCCGCCGCGGUAA
rnacentral:rRNA from 1 species